AACGAACGCUGGCGGCGUGUUUAAGACAUGCAAGUCGCACGGUGUCAUUUUGGUAGCAAUACUUGGAUGGCACAGUGGCGCACGGGUGAGUAACACGUGAAUGACAUGCCCUUCAGAGGGGGAUAGCCCAGGGAAACUUGGAUUAAUACCCCAUGGUCUCGCAAGAGUAAAGGUGGCCGCAAGGCUGUCGCUGGAGGAUUGGUUCGCGUUCUAUCAGCUUGUUGGCGGGGUAACGGCCCACCAAGGCUACGACGGAUACCUGGUCUGAGAGGGAGAUCAGACACACUGGAACUAGGGCACGGUCCAGACACCUACGGGUGGCAGCAGUCGAGCAUAAUUCACAAUGCGGGCAACCCUGAUGGUGCAACGCCGCGUGGAGGAUGAAGGUCUUCGGAUUGUAAACUCCUGUCAUCCGGGAGCAAGACCUGACGGUGAAUAGCCGGCAGGGUUGAUAGUACCGGAAGAGGAAGGGACGGCUAACUUCGUGCCAGCCGCCGCAGUAACAC
rnacentral:rRNA from 1 species